rnacentral:rRNA from 1 species
UGGGGAAUAUUGCACAAUGGGCGCAAGCCUGAUGCAGCCAUGCCGCGUGUAUGAAGAAGGCCUUCGGGUUGUAAAGUACUUUCAGCGGGGAGGAAGGUGUCAAGGUUAAUAACCUUGUCGAUUGACGUUACCCGCAGAAGAAGCACCGGCUAACUCCGUGCCAGCAGCCGCGGUAAUACGGAGGGUGCAAGCGUUAAUCGGAAUUACUGGGCGUAAAGCGCACGCAGGCGGUCUGUCAAGUCGGAUGUGAAAUCCCCGGGCUCAACCUGGGAACUGCAUUCGAAACUGGCAGGCUAGAGUCUUGUAGAGGGGGGUAGAAUUCCAGGUGUAGCGGUGAAAUGCGUAGAGAUCUGGAGGAAUACCGGUGGCGAAGGCGGCCCCCUGGACAAAGACUGACGCUCAGGUGCGAAAGCGUGGGGAGCAAACAGG